rnacentral:rRNA from 1 species
GACGAACGCUGGCGGCGUGCUUAACACAUGCAAGUCGAACGAUGAAGCCUAGCUUGCUAGGUGGAUUAGUGGCGAACGGGUGAGUAAUACGUGAGUAACCUACCUUUAACUCUGGGAUAAGCCCGGGAAACUGGGUCUAAUACCGGAUACGACCAAUCUCCGCAUGGGGUGUUGGUGGAAAGCGUUAUGUAGUGGUUAUAGAUGGGCUCACGGCCUAUCAGCUUGUUGGUGAGGUGACGGCUCACCAAGGCGACGACGGGUAGCCGGCCUGAGAGGGUGACCGGCCACACUGGGACUGAGACACGGCCCAGACUCCUACGGGAGGCAGCAGUGGGGAAUAUUGCACAAUGGGCGCAAGCCUGAUGCAGCGACGCCGCGUGAGGGAUGACGGCCUUCGGGUUGUAAACCUCUGUUAGCAGGGAAGAAGAGAGAUUGACGGUACCUGCAGAGAAAGCGCCGGCUAACUACGUG